rnacentral:sRNA from 1 species
GUCCUGGGCCGCACGCGCGCUACACUGAAGGAAUCA